rnacentral:rRNA from 1 species
GCUGGCCUAUAAAAAUCUUCAAAAUUCAUAAUAAAAUAUAAACAAUUACAUAUCACCCUUUCCCUCUUUCUAAAUCAAAGUACUGAUAAGGAAAUACACCCCACAAAAAGAAAAGAUGACCCCUUGUACCUCGUGCAUAAUGGUUUUACAAGCAAAAUAAUUAAAUUUAUAACCCGAAGCCCUAGCGAGCUACUUAUUUAUUGCUAAGACCCCAUUCAAUGUUGUAGCAUCACCAUGAAGAAAUAAAUAAGUAGGGGCUACAUACCAACGCGCAGGGAUAUAGCUGGUUUCUGAGGACCAUUAUAUAUUAAUACAAGCAUAUUCUGCUGUGUCACAGCUACAGGGACAAGCCUGUAGCUGAUAAUCUAUUCACAAAAAAAGAACUAAUCAAAGUAGGCUUAAAACCAGCCACCUAUAUCACGUUACAGUCUAAUAAACCUUUUAAUAAUAAAGAAAAUGAGCCAAUUAAUCAGAAUAGUGGGAAAAUUAAGUCCCACUUAUACUAUGUAAAAAUUAGUAUUUUGAAUACAACUAAUAUUCAUGACAUAACCUUAAAGAAGGAACUCGGCAACUAGUAUUCCGACUGUUUACCAAAAACAUUGCCACUCGAAUUAUAUUGGUGGUAAAUCCUGCCCAGUGAGUCAUUUAACGGCCGCGGUAUCCUGACCGUGCAAAGGUAGCAUAAUCACUUGCCUAUUAAUUGUAGGCUAGAAUGAAAGGACAAACGAGAAUACACCUGUCUCCUUUAAGCCCCUAAAAAUUUAUCUUUAAGUGAAGAAGCUUAAAUAAACGUGCAGGACAAGAAGACCCUAUAGAGCUUUACCUAUAAGCCACAUAAACAGUGGUUAGCGGUUCGGUUGGGGCGACCAGGGGAUACUAACCACCCCUAAAUUAUAAGAUCAACUAAUCCUAUCAUAGAUCCUUUAUCAAGAUCAAAGAAUCAAGCUACCUUAGGGAUAACAGGCUAAUCCUCUUAGAGAGCCCUUAUCGACAAGAGGGGUUGGCACCUCGAUGUUGGCUUAGGACGUCUCCAUGUCGCAGCAGACAUGGCAAGAUGGUUUGUUCAACCAUUAAAUUCCUACAUGAGCUGAGUUCAGACCGGCGCAAGCCAGGUUAGUUUCUAUCCGCACAUUAAUCAUAUCUAUAGUACGAAAGGACCUAGAUAUGUCAAAUAUUGAUAACAAAGAAUAAAUCUAAUAAAUAAUAAAUUACAUAACCUUAGUGAGUUGGCAGAAUAGUGCACUUG